rnacentral:lncRNA from 1 species
UAUUUUGCGCCCCAUUGUUUUUUUAAAUGUUUUUUACUUUAAACUAAUUAAAGUGAACAAUUAAAGUUUUAUUUUAAUUGAACAUUUGAAUAAAUGAUUACUAAUAUAUAACAAGUUUAUUUAUAAUGUAUACGUAUAAUAUUUUGGGAUAAUAAAGACACUGUCGUUUAUUUUGCACCACAUUAUUUCUUUUUUAAUGUUCUUGACUUUAAACUAAAUAAAAUGA